UACGUAGGUGGCGAGCGUUGUCCGGAAUUACUGGGCGUAAAGAGCGCGCAGGCGGCUGGUCAAGUCCGAUGUGAAAUCUCCCGGCUUAACUGGGAAAUUGCAUCGGAAACUGAUCGGCUUGAAGGUGGGAGAGGGUAGCCGAAUUCCCGGUGUAGUGGUGAAAUGCGUAGAUAUCGGGAGGAACACCAGUGGCGAAGGCGGCUACCUGGCCCAUUCUUGACGCUGAGGCGCGAAAGCUAGGGGAGCAAACGGG
rnacentral:rRNA from 1 species